rnacentral:lncRNA from 1 species
GACAACAAUAGGACACAGAAGAGUAAAAUGGAAGUAAUAUUACUUAAAGGUAGACUGUAAUAAGUUAAGAUGUUAUAGUAGAUUAAAUGGUGACCAAAAGGAUUUGUCCACAUGCUAAUCCCCAGAACCUGUGAAUGUUAACUUCUUUGGGAAAAAGGUUUUUGCAGAUACAAUUAAAUUAAGGAUCUUGAGAUUAGAUAAUCAUGGAAAAAAGUUUUUGCAGAUAUAAUUAAAUUAAGGAUCUUGAGAUUACAUAAUCGUGGAUUAUCUAGGUGGGUCCUAAAUCUCAUGACAAGCGCCCUUAUAAGAGAGACACAGAGGAGGGAUAGACAGAGAAAGGAGAAAGAAGCAAAGUGACUGUGAAGGUAGAUAUUAAAGUGAUGCAUCCACAAGCCCAGAGAUGCUGGUAGCCACCAGGAGCUUGAAGAGUCAAGAUACAGCUUUCCCUCUAGAACCUCCAGAGGGAACGUGACCCUUCCAACACCUUAAUUUCAGACAUCUAGCCUCCAGAAUUGUGGGAGAAUAAAUUUCUGCUGUUUUAAGCCAAGAAGUUUGUGGUAAUUUGUUACAGCAAUGACAGGAUAUGAAUGCAGAUGUGUAUAUAAAGUCUAGAGCAACCCCUAGGAAAUGAAAAUAACGAAAUACAGUUGGUAAGCCAAUAAUGGAAAUAAAUUCACAUCGCUAAAAAGUCUUCAAUCCAAAAGGAAUAAGAAAAACAUAUGAACAAGGCAAACAGCAAGAUGGCAUUAAUAAUUCCAUUAAAUGUAAAUGGACUAGAGGUACCUAGAAUAGUCAAAUUCACAGAGACAGCAAGUAGAAUAGUGGUUACCGUGGUCUGAGGGAGGGGAGAAAUAGUGGUUACCAUGGCCUGAGGGAGGGGAGAAUGGAGAGUUAGUAUUUCCUGGGUGCAGAGUCUCAGUUUGGGUCGAUGAAAAAGUUCUGGAGAUGGAUGGAGGUGAUGGUUGCACAACAGUAUGAAUGUACUUAAUGCCACUGAAUUGUACACUUAAAAUGGCUAAAACGGUUAAUUUUGUGCUAUGUAUAUUUUGCCACAAUAAAAAAUGUAAGUGGACUAAACCCUCUAAUUAAAAGGCAGAGGUUUCCAGAUUGUACAAAAAGACACAAUUAUUUGUGUCUAUAAGAAACCUACUUUAAACAGACGCAGUUUAAAAAUAUAGAAAAACAUAUACCAUGCUAAUACUAACAGAAAGUUUGAGUGGCUAUAUUAAUAUCAGACAAAGCAGAUUUCAGAGUAAGAGAUAUUACAAGGGAUAAAUGAGACAAAAGGACAUUAUAAUCUUAUAUGAGGUAUGAAACAAAAAUUGAUAGAACUGAAAGGGGAAAUAGUGAAAUGUACAGUUACAGUUGAAGAUUUUAACACUUCUGUCUUGGUAAUUGACAGAAGUAGUAGAGAGAAAAUUAGCAAGGAUAUAGAAGAUCUGAACAACAUAAUCAACCCACUUGACCUAAUUGACAUUUAUGAAACAUUUUGUCCAACAACAGCAGAGCACACAUUCUUUUUCAAGUGCAUACAGAAUAUUUACCAAGAUAGACCAUAAUCCAGUACAUAAAACAAGUCAUAAUGCAUUUUAAGUGAUUUAAAUCAUACAAAGCAUGUUCUCUGACCACAACAAAACCCAAUGCCAAAAGAUAGCUGGAAAAAAAAUCCCAAAAUAUUUGGAAAUUAUACACUUCUAAAUAACCCAUGAGUGAAAGAGGAAGUCACAUUUGAAACUAGAAGAUAUUUUGAACUUCAUGAAGGUGAAAACACAACAUAUUAGUAUCUGUGGGAUGCAGCUAAAGCUGUGCUUAGAAAAAAAAAUCCAGCAUUAAAUAUUUAUAUAAAAGAAAAAUAUUCUCAAAUCAGUGAUCUUAGCUCCCCAAUAUUUUUAAGAUGUCAGUUUUCCCCAGUUUGAUCUAAAGAACACAAUUCCAGUCAAAAUUUCAGCAGGCUUUUUUGCAGAAAAUGACAAACUGAUUCUAAAUUUUAUGUAGAAACCAAAAGAAUUAAAAAGACCUAGAAAAACCAAAAUAAUUUUUGAAAUGAAGAACAAAAUUGGAGGACUUAUUUUUGAAUGUACUAAGGACAUGAGUUGUUGAUACAAGAAACAAUGGAGAUACUCUCAAUAGCAUUAUGCUAAGUGAAAGAAAUCAGACACAAAAAGCAACAUACCAUAGGAUACAGUUUAUAAGAAAUUCUAGACAAGUCUAAAUGAUGGUGACAGAAAACAGAUCAGUGGUCCCCAGGGCCAGGGGCUGGGAGAAGGGAACUGGCUGCAGACAGAUGCAGAAACUUGCAUGGUGAUGGGAAUGUCCCAUGUCUGGAUAACGAUGGUGGUGGUUAUAUGACUGCAUGCAUUUGUCAAAACUCAUCAAAUUGUACACUUCAAACUGGGAAGUUAUUUUUCAAUAAAGCUACAGUAAUUAAAUAAGUCACUUUUUUUUUAAUUGCUGUCAAAUAGAACAAGAGUGAGGACGUGGAACAGCCAGGCAGAGCCAGCCUGCAGCGGAUGGGGCCCAAGCAAGUGAGGACUCAAAGGCCCCAGGAAGUGGGGCUGGAUUUCAGGCUUUUGGGAUGAAGCCAGCUGAGAGAGGCUGAGCCUGUGUCCCCAGAAGCUCCAGGAGAGGAUUUGAGGUGCUGGAGGGGGCAUCGCAAUGGAGGGGGCACCUGAGCAGGUGGAAGGAGCUGGGCUCCAGGUACCUGGUGUGGGAGGAUGCACGUUUCCCAGAGGCAGCCGGGAAGUAGGGUGGGUAUCCAUGAAGAGGGGUGCAUCUGAGUGCUCACGUGGAACACGCUUAUGGGCUUGGGUUUGCCCUGUGAAUUGGGAGCUGAGAAGGGCAGGCAGAUGGGAGGCUAGGUGAAGGGAAGACCCCUCAAGGCCUUCUCACACCCAGACACCAGCUCCCAGGGCUGACCUGGCACUGCGUCCCUGGCUCCCAUCUUGCUCCCCCGAAGGACAUCUGCCUAGGCGCCCCCAGUGGCUGUCAAACUGUGAAAACCCCAGACCCAGAGGCCUCUUCAGGGUCCAGGGAGGAGCAGCAGCCUGGGACUGGAGAUGACCUGAACCCACUAAUCA